GGAAAUAUAAAAUGCAACAUCUCUUUUUUUGCUCUUUUUUUUUUGGAUUUUUGACUUGUAACACAUCUUCAAAUACAAUAAUAAAACACUCGGCAAAUUUAACUAGACUAUUACAAACUCAAAAAUUAACUAAAUGACUGAAUACUACUGUACAGGACUAGAAAGUAAAACAUGAACAAAAGACUCUAAAACAUAAAAAAAAAAAAACUCCUCAGGCAACUCCCGAAUGCAGUGAUCCUGGGGUAUCUGUCAUGUUCAAACUCCGGUAAAUAAAUCCACACCUGUAUGAGAAAAUUAAAACAAAAUAGGUUAAAGGCCUAGAACGCUAUGUGAGACAAAACCCCUUUCUGUUGGAAACAUGCAAGACAUGAUUUAGGCUAUUUUUUGCAAAAUGGUUUAUUUAGCCAAAAGAUGGCUAGAAGUGAAAAUUUGGCUAAGACCCCGCAAAGCCAAGAAUCUAAGAUUUACUAGGAAGACCGGACCCUAUGUGGGUUGCCUACGUAUCACGCCCCGAAAGACGAGAAUCAGGUAUGCGUAGUUCGGGCAGAUUGGAUACGGGCGAGAAUAAUAAAACAACUGACAUAUAGAAAACACAUUUUUCCUCUUUUUUUUCAAACAAUAAUGAAACAUAUAAAAUCUUUUUGGAUUUUCUUUUCUCUUUUUUUUUUGAAAAAUGAUAAAAUUGCAAAAUCUUUUCAAUUUUCAAGCUCUUUUUUUUUUUAACAAAAAUGUAACAAAAAACAUAAUUGGGUCUUACUCUCUUUAUCCUCACACUUCACCCUUUUUUUUUCCUUUUUUUUUUCUUCCCUUUUUUUUCAUUCGCCCUCAAUUAUCAUUGGUCCGCCAAAUGACCUUUUUACCCUUGAAGGAAUGCAACAUGUAGCACACAGGAUGCAUCGAGAUGGUCUGUUAUUUUGGGUACACUUGUCCUGGACGAACCCAACCCCUGUGUUGAGUCCCCUAAGUCAAAUGCACGUGAUGCAAACAAACGUUCCUACUAGGAUCCGGCAUGAGGUUGUGUUCUUCUAGGUUUAAAUCCUGGGGUUUUGUUCUAGACUUGGGGUACCCGAGCGGACAACUGGGGCCGAAGAGGGGGCGACGUACCGGGAGCACUGAAGUCUACCCGGCCUUGUCGCUUGCCCAACCUCAUUCUGUUUGGUAUAAUUUCUACAGAAAAAGCGGGCUACGCGAACGUAUGCACCAUUUUCAGAAGACUCAGAGGGGUGGCGUAAGAAGACAGUUAUAUACGAUUCAAACAAUAUUAAAGCGGCAAACAUAUAGCAUUUAGCGCAAAAGGUUCACAGAAUACAGUAAUAUCAACAAUAAAUAAAACCAAGCAAAAUCAUAUUAACAAGCUCGAAUUCUUGAACCUCAACUAGAGAUUCUGGGUUCGAGUCCCCAGCAGAGUCGCCAGAGUUGUCACACCUCCUUUUUUACUUACACCCCAUAAAGGGUAUAAAUAUAAGGGAGUUUUCCAAUUAAAGGACAAUCGAAACGAGAUUAUUUUAUUUACAAAUUCAGAGUCGCCACUUGGGAUAAUUUAUGGUGUCCCAAGUCACCGGUUCAAAUCUCGAAUCGAGGAAAAGGAUUGACUCUGUUUAACAGUCCGCGAACCAGAAAUCCGAGUAAGGAAUUCUAUUAACCCGGGAGAAGGUGUUAGGCACUCCCGAGUUCCGUGGUUCUAGCACGGUCGCUUUGAUUAUACUUGGCUUGACUAAUUGUUUAACUACUGAAUUUAGAACCUAUGUGCAUUUACUCUUUUAACUGCUUCUAAUCACUUGAUUUAUUAGUAAUUAAAGAAUUGAGUUACGCGUACGUAUACUAUUUUCUUUUGGCGCAUCAGAAAUCAUCUCACGCGAACGUGUCCACAAUUAAUAACGCUUGUUUAUUUAUUUAAGAAAAAUUUGGUUGAAGUUGCGAGAACGCAUACCUCGAGUCUUUUAAGAGUUUGAUUUGCAAUUAUGUUACGCAAACGUAUACAUAAUCGCAAUGCUAAUCUAAAUCGGUCCUAAAGCAAACUACGAUGGUUCAAAUUAAUAAAAUGCUUGCGAGGGCCAUGGAAAGUUUAUUCACAAUAGUACUAACUCUUGAAUUCAAUUUGUGAGGUCCAUAUAUUAUGGGUUUUAAAUAUGGCACAAUUCGGAAAAAAGGUAUAUAUUUUAAAGAGAAUCUAAAGGUACACUAAUUAUCACAACCGCAUCACGGGAGCCGUACCCAUAGUUGUAAUAAUUUAAUUGCAUUCUUAAAGCAAUCUACGAGAUUCAUUUUUAUAUCUAAUUUAUAGGAUUAAAGACAUACCAACAGAAAUUCUAUGAACCCAUGAAAUUGCUAUACUAAGAUAACAUCAACAAGAACAAAUAAGCUCCAAAAAAUCAACUCGUUUUUAAUACCAAUCAUAGUUUUGAGUUUCUCGGAGAAUAACUAUGGAGGUACGUCCAUUUCUUCUCCACAAACUCACAAUAGCAGCUAGAUACAAAAUUUUCACACAUACAAUUACUACAAGUUCAGAAUUCUCAACAUUCCAACUAAUUGAUAAUGGAAUUUAAACUGACGAAUCCUCCAAAACAAAUAGGCGCAAAGUACUACAAUAAAAUUCAUACUCAACAAAGCUAACAAGAAAUAUGCAAUUCGAAGAAAUACGACUGAAUCAUGGCCAUAAACAUCAUACUAACAAAAAGGGAACGAACCUUUAACCAAAUUGAAACUCAACCUCAAAUCGGAAACAAAGAACAACGAUUUCAAAUCGAACCUCGACGGCGCCAAAAAACACUAGGAAUUUUCUGCUCAAGGCUUCUGUUGGAUUUUCGCCCACUUCUGAUUAGCAACAGAUUGUGAGCGGACGAAGUGGAUCAGUGAGUGUGUGUAUGGGUUUGCCGCUGAAGCUUAGGUCUGCCGUUUUUAGUUUUUUCCAUUGAGCUCAAAAGCUUUCAUUUUUGGCUGCUGCAUUGGAGAUCGACGAAAGGAGUAUCAAGAGGAGUGGUGUUGGAGGCUGCUUUGGUAUAGGGGUCGAAGGUAAUCGAAAACCGUUCUAGAUUAGGGAUCUGUUUUUUGUUUUCUUCUUUGUGAGGAAGAUGAUCCUUCUUCUCUGAUGGAAACGACGGUGUAGUUUUGGCUUUUUAGAAGCUAGCUUUGAUGACUUUUCUUCUAGAUUUUAGGCGUUGGUUUUUUGUAGAAAGAAGCAGAACCGAUAGGAUCUCCUUUUGGAAAAACGGUGGAUGUGUUGUCUUCUCUUUUCUAUUUGGGAUUAGGUAUUAUUAUAUAGGGGAAGGAAUUAGGUUAGGGGUUUGGGCCUAGGAAUUAU
rnacentral:lncRNA from 1 species